UUAUGGCCAUAUCAUGUUGAAACACUAGUUCUCAUAUGAUCAUUGAAGUUAAGCAACAUCAAGGCUGGUCAGUAUCAAGAUGGAUGACUGUUUGGGAGUAUCUGAUGCUGCAAGC